rnacentral:rRNA from 1 species
AGAUUGAACGCUGGCGGCAUGCCUUACACAUGCAAGUCGAACGGUAGAGUAGCAAUACUCGAGAGUGGCGAACGGGUGAGUAAUAUAUCGGAACGUGCCCAGUCGUGGGGGAUAACGUAGAGAAAUUUACGCUAAUACCGCAUACGAUCUACGGAUGAAAGCGGGGGAUUCGCAAGAACCUCGCGCGAUUGGAGCGGCUGAUAUCAGAUUAGGUUGUUGGUGAGGUAAAAGCUCACCAAGCCGACGAUCUGUAGCUGGUUUGAGAGAACGACCAGCCACACUGGGACUGAGACACGGCCCAGACU